GACGAACGCUGGCUGCGUGCUUAACACAUGCAAGUCGAACGGAAAGGCCCUGCUUUUGUGGGGUGCUCGAGUGGCGAACGGGUGAGUAACACGUGAGUAACCUGCCCUUGACUUUGGGAUAACUUCAGGAAACUGGGGCUAAUACCGGAUAGGAGCUCCUGCUGCAUGGUGGGGGUUGGAAAGUUUCGGCGGUUGGGGAUGGACUCGCGGCUUAUCAGCUUGUUGGUGGGGUAGUGGCUUACCAAGGCUUUGACGGGUAGCCGGCCUGAGAGGGUGACCGGCCACAUUGGGACUGAGAUACGGCCCAGACUCCUACGGGAGGCAGCAGUGGGGAAUAUUGCACAAUGGGCGGAAGCCUGAUGCAACAACGCCGCGUGCGGGAUGACGGCCUUCGGGUUGUAAACCGCUUUCGCCUGUGACGAAGCGUGAGUGACGGUAAUGGGUAAAGAAGCACCGGCUAACUACGUGCCAGCAGCCGCGGUGAUACGUAGGGUGCGAGCGUUGUCCGGAUUUAUUGGGCGUAAAGGGCUCGUAGGUGGUUGAUCGCGUCGGAAGUGUAAUCUUGGGGCUUAACCCUGAGCGUGCUUUCGAUACGGGUUGACUUGAGGAAGGUAGGGGAGAAUGGAAUUCCUGGUGGAGCGGUGGAAUGCGCAGAUAUCAGGAGGAACACCAGUGGCGAAGGCGGUUCUCUGGGCCUUUCCUGACGCUGAGGAGCGAAAGCGUGGGGAGCGAACAGGCUUAGAUACCCUGGUAGUCCACGCUGUAAACGGUGGGUACUAGGUGUGGGGUCCAUUCCACGGGUUCCGUGCCGUAGCUAACGCUUUAAGUAUCCCGCCUGGGGAGUACGGCCGCAAGGCUAAAACUCAAAGGAAUUGACGGGGCCCCGCACAAGCGGCGGAGCAUGCGGAUUAAUUCGAUGCAACGCGUAGAACCUUACCUGGGUUUGACAUGGAUCGGGAGUGCUCAGAGAUGGGUGUGCCUCUUUUGGGGUCGGUUCACAGGUGGUGCAUGGCUGUCGUCAGCUCGUGUCGUGAGAUGUUGGGUUAAGUCCCGCAACGAGCGCAACCCUUGUUCACUGUUGCCAGCACGUUAUGGUGGGGACUCAGUGGAGACCGCCGGGGUCAACUCGGAGGAAGGUGGGGAUGACGUCAAGUCAUCAUGCCCCUUAUGUCCAGGGCUUCACGCAUGCUACAAUGGCUGGUACAGAGAGUGGCGAGCCUGUGAGGGUGAGCGAAUCUCGGAAAGCCGGUCUCAGUUCGGAUUGGGGUCUGCAACUCGACCUCAUGAAGUCGGAGUCGCUAGUAAUCGCAGAUCAGCAACGCUGCGGUGAAUACGUUCCCGGGGCU
rnacentral:rRNA from 1 species